UGGGGAAUAUUGGACAAUGGGCGCAAGCCUGAUCCAGCCAUGCCGCGUGAGUGAUGAAGGCCUUCGGGUUGUAAAGCUCUUUUGUCAGGGAAGAUGAUGACGGUACCUGAAGAAUAAGCCCCGGCUAACUUCGUGCCAGCAGCCGCGGUAAUACGAAGGGGGCUAGCGUUGUUCGGAAUUACUGGGCGUAAAGGGCGCGUAGGCGGCUCGACAAGUCAGAAGUGAAAUCCCUGGGCUCAACCCAGGAAUUGCUUUUGAGACUGCCGGGCUUGAGUACAGGAGAGGUGAGUGGAAUUCCCAGUGUAGAGGUAAAAUUCGUAGAUAUUGGGAGGAACACCAGUGGCGAAGGCGGCUCACUGGCCUGUAACUGACGCUGAGGCGCGAAAGCGUGGGGAGCAAACAG
rnacentral:rRNA from 1 species